CUACUCCCAAUCUCUUGGCCGUCGUUCUUUUACAUCAGAUUUUUUUUUUUUUUUUUUAUUGUAUUUGUUUGUUUUAGAAAAUUUUCUAUUCUUUGCGUGAUUGUUCUUGAUUUUGUUUCAUUUGUUUCUGAAAUUUUAUGGACUCUUGAUUAAUCUCUCUUGGUGCUGUAGAUAAUGUGGUAAUGGGUCGGUGAGGAUAAAUUUAUAAGGCUUGUUUCUCAAAACAUUCGCAGUGGCCGCCUGAGAGCUUUCGCCUUCGCCGGGCUUGAGAGCUUCUGCUGUUUUUAUCCUUCCUUGGAUGUCUGAGACUCUAACGAACAAUAUGCAUUUUGGUUUCUGUCUAUUUAAUCUAAAUGCCUGGAUAUGGAAUUUUCUGUUUUCUAUGAAUUUUGGAUUUGGGUUUUGAAAUUUCCCCUGAAAUUCACUAGUCGGGACUUUGCGUCUGUCUCUGUAGUAGUGUUUUGAGUGCUUUAGGGAUGAACAAAGUCCCAUAUAUUCAUUUCCAUCCUUUUCACUUUGUCAGCUCUUUCUAUUAUGUCUUGCUGAUCAUUGCUGGAUGGAAGAUUUUCACUUUCAUUAUUCGAUUUUACAUGCUUGAUUUGUAUGACUUUUACCCGUUGGAGAACUCUUAACAGUGAUGAUAUCCUUAAGGCUUGUUUCUCAGAACAUUCGCAGUGGCCGCCUGAGAGCUUUCGCCUUCGCCAGGCUUGAGAGCUAUUGCUGCUUUUUUUCCUUCCUUGGAUGUCUGAGUUUCUUAUCAACUUAUGAAAAAUAAAACCCAAUUUGAUAAAUCAAAGCAUUGAAGUUGCCUGUUCCUAUGGAAUCUUAAUUUUCCUUAAUUGGAUUGUGGUAUCCUUCCCAGAAUGAAGCUGCAGAUGGGAUUGAUAUUGUUCUAACAUAUUGUUUUUCAUCUAAGUGAUGGUAUUAAUGGUGGUAUGGACCAAUCAAAACUAGAUGUAUUCACCAAAUUUGUGUUUAGAAUCCAUUUUUAUAUGUACAAUCAUCGAAUAGGACAUUAUAAAAUAUAAAUCGCUUUUUACUUCACAAUUUUUUUUUGAAAAAUAAAUUAGACUUUUCAAUAAUAGCUUUCUUAAAUAAUUUAUCUUAAAUUGUAUACGAUUAUAUGAAAUUUUGAGUUACAAAAGUAAGUUUAUGGAGCUAA